rnacentral:rRNA from 2 species
ACAGGGAUUGCCCUAGUAACGGCGAGUGAAGCGGCAACAGCUCAAAUUUGAAAUCUGGCGUCUUUGGCGUCCGAGUUGUAAUUUGCAGAGGGCGCUUUGGCAUUGGCAGCGGUCCAAGUUCCUUGGAACAGGACGUCACAGAGGGUGAGAAUCCCGUACGUGGUCGCUAGCCUUUACCGUGUAAAGCCCCUUCGACGAGUCGAGUUGUUUGGGAAUGCAGCUCUAAAUGGGAGGUAAAUUUCUUCUAAAGCUAAAUACUGGCCAGAGACCGAUAGCGCACAAGUAGAGUGAUCGAAAGAUGAAAAGCACUUUGGAAAGAGAGUUAAAAAGCACGUGAAAUUGUUGAAAGGGAAGCGCUUGCAGCCAGACUUGCCUGUAGUUGCUCAUCCGGGUUUCUACCCGGUGCACUCUUCUAUAGGCAGGCCAGCAUCAGUUUGGGCGGUUGGAUAAAGGUCUCUGUCAUGUACCUCCUUUCGGGGAGAACUUAUAGGGGAGACGACAUGCAACCAGCCUGGACUGAGGUCCGCGCAUCUGCUAGGAUGCUGGCGUAAUGGCUGUAAGCGGCCCGUCUUGAAACACGGACCAAGGAGUCUAACAUCUAUGCGAGUGUUUGGGUGUCAAGCCCGAGCGCGUAAUGAAAGUGAACGGAGGUGGGAACCUUUCGGGGUGCACCAUCGACCGAUCCUGAUGUCUUCGGAUGGAUUUGAGUAAGAGCAUAGCUGUUGGGACCCGAAAGAUGGUGAACUAUGCUUGAAUAGGGUGAAGCCAGAGGAAACUCUGGUGGAGGCUCGCAGCGGUUCUGACGUGCAAAUCGAUCGUCAAAUUUGGGCAUAGGGGCGAAAGACUAAUCGAACUAUCUAGUAGCUGGUUCCUGCCGAGU